AUGGAGAAGACGGUCGUUCUGUACCCCGGCCUCGCCGUGAGCCACUUCGUCCCCAUGAUGCAGCUCGCCGCCCAGCUCCUGGAGCACGGCUACGCCGUCUCCGUCGCGCUCAUCGAUCCCGGCAUCAUGGAAGACAUCGUCUUCAGCGCCGUCGUCGCCCGCGUCGCCGCCUCCAUGCCGUCCGUCAGCUUCCACACGCUCCCAGGUGUGGAGGACCCGCCCAAACUAACCCUGGACAUACACUUCAUCCCCAGGUACCUCGACCUCCUGCGCCGCUACAACCAGCGCCUCCACGACUUCAUCUCUUCCAUGCGCCCUCACGCCGUGGUCGUCGACUCGUUGUCCAGCGAGGCGGUCGUCGUCGCAAAGAGGCUCGGGAUCCCCUGCUACAACUUGUUCACCAGCAGCGCCUCCAUCCUCGCCGCCUUCUCCCAGCUUGCUACGCUCCUUCCAGAGGGCGGGGCGAGCUUCGGGGAGCUAGGAGACAACCCUAUCGAGCUCUUCGGCCUUCCAUCUAUGCCGGCUUCGCACUUACUGGCCGAAAUGCUCGAGGACCCGGAGAGUGAAACAUACAAGGCGACGAUGGGCUCCCUGUGCUGGAUCAUGGAGGCCAAUGGCACGCUGGUGAACACGUUCGAGUCGUUGGAGGCUCCGGGGGUGGCGGCUCUCAAGGACCCACGGUGUGUCCCCGGUCGGGUUUUGCCUCCGGUGUACUGCAUCGGUCCGUUUGUCGGUGCCAUCGCCGAGGCAAAAGAGCGACACGAGUGCCUUGUCUGGCUAGAC
rnacentral:rRNA from 1 species